CGAACGAGGAUAUACUCUUCGGAGUAUAAGCCGGGAGUGGCGAAAGCGGUGAGUAACAUGCAUAGAUGACAUACCUUAGGAUAAGAAUAACUUGUGAAAAUGGAGUUUAAUACUUAAUAAUUCGAAGCAAAAUCAUUAUUAGUUUCGUCAAUGGGGGGGUAGCAAUACCUCUCGCCUGAAGAGUGGUUUAUGUCCUAUCAGCUUGUAAUUGGUGGCCGGUAAUGGCCUACCAAGGCAAAGACGGGUAGCGGUCUAAGAGGAUGGUCGGCGCCACACUGGGACUGAGACACUGCCCAGACUCCUACGGGAGGCUGCAGUCGAGAAUCUUUCGCAAUGCCCGAAAGGGUGACAAAGCGACGCCGCGUGAGCGAAGAAGGCCUUAGGGUUGUAAAGCUCUGUCGAGGGUUAUGAAUUAUAGAUAGGUAUACUUAUCUAUUUGACAUAUAGGCCCAAAAGGAAGCCACGGCUAACUCUGUGCGCAGCAGCCGCGGUAAUACAGAGGUGGCAAGCGUUGUUCGGAAUUAUUGGGCGUAAAGAGCACGUAGGUGGUUUAUAUGAUUUAGUCAGGUGUGAAAGCCUUCUGUUCAAAGGAAGAACCGGCAUCUGAAACUGCGAAUCUUGUUAGGAGGGGAGAGUGGAACUCUGGUGGAGCGGUGAAAUGCGUAGAUAUCAGAAGGAACGUCGGCGGCGAAAGCGACUCUCUGGCCUAUAAUACUGACCACUGAGGUGCGAAAGUUAGGGGAGCAAACGGGAUUAGAUACCCGCGGUAGUCCUAACCGUAUAACGAUGGCACUAAGUAGAGGGAAUUACCAAUGUUCUCUCUGCCCGUAGCUAACAUUAAGUGCCUUCGCGCCUGGGGAGUACGGCCGCAAGCUAAAACUCAAAAGAAUUGACGGGGGCUCGCACAAGCGGUGGAGCAUGUGGCUUAAUUCGAUGCAACGCGAAAAACCUUACCGGGGUUUGACAUGGUAGAAGUAGGAGCCCGAAAGGGGUAACCAACGGUAUCCAGUCCGUAACUUAUCACAGGUGUUGCAUGGCUGUCGUCAGCUCGUGUCGUGAGACGUUGGGUUAAGUCCCUAACGAGCGAAACCCUUGUAAAUUAGUUACCAUCGGGUUGUGCCGGGUACUAAAAAGACUGCCGUCGUCAAGACGGAGGAAGGUGGGGAUGACGUCAAGUUCAUCAUGGCCCUUAUACCCGCGGGCUGCACACGUUUACAAUGGUCGGUACAAAAGGAAGCAAGACCGAAAGAGUGGAGCGAAUCUAUUAAAGAGCCGAUCUCAGUUCGGAUUGGAGGCUGAAAUUCGCCUCCAUAAGUUGGCGAAUCGCUAGUAAU
rnacentral:rRNA from 1 species